rnacentral:rRNA from 1 species
CUAUGGGGGGCUCCAGUGGGGAAUAUUGCACAAUGGGCGCAAGCCUGAUGCAGCCAUGCCGCGUGUAUGAAGAAGGCCUUCGGGUUGUAAAGUACUUUCAGCGGGGAGGAGGGGAGUAAAGUUAAUACCUUUGCUCAUUGACGUUACCCGCAGAAGAAGCACCGGCUAACUCCGUGCCAGCAGCCGCGGUAAUACGGAGGGUGCAAGCGUUAAUCGGAAUUACUGGGCGUAAAGCGCACGCAGGCGGUUUGUUAAGUCAGAUGUGAAAUCCCCGGGCUCAACCUGGGAACUGCAUCUGAUACUGGCAAGCUUGAGUCCCGUAGAGGGGGGGUAGAAUUCCAGGUGUAGCGGUGAAAUGCGUAGAGAUCUGGAGGAAUACCGGUGGCGAAGGCGGCCCCCUGGACGAAGACUGACGCUCAGGUGCGAAAGCGUGGGGAGCAAACAGGAUUAGAUACCCUUGUAGUC